CACACACGCUCACACACACACACACACACACACGCUCACACACACACGCUCACACACACACGCUGGCCAACCGCUCCCACAGAACACCAAAACAUUUACAACCAGUUUACAGUCUGCAAGAAGAUUAUACAGCAAGCCUGCUUCCUGUAACCUUAUCCACACACACAUGCACACACACACACACAUGCACACACACACACACACACACAUUUAGGCUUUUGGAACGAUAGACAUCACUUGAACCCAGAAGUAUCCCACUGCCUGUGCUCUCAGACCACCUCAAACGAUCUCCUCAUCUGUGUGGCAAUCAGUUAGUCAUGCCUGGGAGCUGAUCUGCUUUAUCUGAGCUCUGCUCCUCAUGCCUGAAAGGUUGUGUAGUCAGUCAGUCUGUCUGUGUGUGUGUGUGUCUCUGUUUCGCUCAGCACAGUGUGUGUGUGUGUGUGUGUGUGUGUGUGUGUGUGUUUUAGUAGACCACUAGCACAGAGACUGGUGCAUUGGGGAGGGAAAGGCAGAAUUCAGCACUCACACAAACACACUCACCCUACGUCUCACACACACACACACACUCGCCCUACGUCACACACACUCACACACUCGCCCUACGUCACACACACACACACUUACUUCAUAACCGUGCAUUUCUAUGUCACACACACACACUCACUUCAUAACCGUGCGUCCCUACAUCACAAACACACACACACACUCACUUCAGACUCUAAAGGCUUAUCUUCACGAGGUUAUAAGGUAUGUUGGGCUCCUCCCUGUCUGCCGCUGAUCAGCCAAUCAGAAGAGCAGCUGGAGUAGACUAGCAAAUCACUAAUGAGGUGCAGCAGCCAAUCAGCUGAAGCUAGGAGGAGCUGUAUAAUUCCUCUGUCAUGUCAUUUAUUUACUGUAGCCAUACAUUCUCAUUCUUUAGUGUGUGUGUGUGUGUGUGUGUGUGUGUGUGUGUGUGUGUGUUGUGUGUGUGUGUGUGUGUGUGUGUGUGUGUGUGUGUGUGUGUGUGUGUGAGAGUGAGAGAGAGAGGAAAAUAAAGUGUGUUCCAGUACCACACACGCAGAAAGAAGACACACACACAGCUGACGAAAACCCAAAUCACCGUUGGCGCAAGACAGCUCUGUGUGUGGACCACACUCCUGCCACACACACACACACACACACACACACAACCCUCUAGCCCUGAACACGGACACACACACACUCACCCCUCUGCCCUGGUCCUGAGUAGGCGACCCACACACACACACACACACACACACGCAUAGACUUGGGUUCCACUAAAGUUAUGCCCAAGCUAUACAUCUCACACAACCUAAAGCCUUGCAUACACACACACACACACACACACCUUAAAGGCUUGCGCACACACACACGUCCUAAAGGCUUGCGUUGAACACUCCAAAUAAUCACUGUCAUCCAUUUUGGACCACAGUUUAAGAAAUUAACCAAUCAGUGAACAGAUAGCUGCUUUUUUUUUUAUUACUAUGUAAUAGUAACAUCCUUUCUAACUGACGGAGGGUUCCACCAAUGGGCAAAGGCACUGGAGCAUUCCGACAGGAGGCGGGCACAGUGGGGAAGGUUGUGAUUGGAGGAGAGAUAAUUGGGGCGGGCUUUGGAUGGAC
ensembl:lncRNA